ACCGCCUCAGGGAAGAGGAAGGAGGCCGCGGCUUCGCGUCCCGCCUCUCGCCUGGCUGGCCGUGGGGGGCCUGGACGCAGUGGCCUCCCGAAUCUCCCAGGACCCUAAUAUCGCCCGAGGAUGCUGGGAGGAACGCUGAGCCGACCUCUCCGUUAGGCUGAAGAUUGCACAAACCAUGCUAAUGGCCAGCAUGGAUGGAGGGAGCGUGUGAGAUGUGUGGGGCAGCGUGCUGCAUCUCAGCCAACUCCAGGAGCCAGUUGAUGUGAUGGACUACCUUAAUUGAUUUUUGAAUGUUGAGCCAGCCUUAUGCAUGUGGGAUAAACCCCUGUUGAUCAUGGCUGGCUGGAGUGCAGUGGUGCAAUCAUGGCUCACUGCAACCUCAAAUUCCUGGGCUCAAGGGAUCCUCCUGCCUCAGCCUCCCAAGUAGCUAGGACUACAGGAAGCAUGCUCAUGGCAAUACCCGGAGUCUCCACUGCAAGACCAGAGUGACGGAGGCAGCAGAGCUCCUCAGCAGGCCAGGAGUCUCCAGAGGCACUGCCGAAUGUCUAAGAAGCAACCUCAUUGUAUUCCCAAGACCUGGGAAUCCAGGUCUCGCAGAUACGAUGAUACAAUCUAUAGCCAGGACAUCU
rnacentral:lncRNA from 1 species